rnacentral:rRNA from 1 species
UACGUAGGGUGCAAGCGUUGUCCGGAAUCAUUGGGCGUAAAGCGCGCGUAGGCGGCCUUGUAAGUCCGUUGUGAAAGUCAAAGGCUCAACCUUUGAAAGCCGAUGGAUACUGCAAGGCUGGAGUCCGGAAGAGGCGAGUGGAAUUCCUGGUGUAGCGGUGGAAUGCGCAGAUAUCAGGAGGAACACCAAUAGCGAAGGCAGCUCGCUGGGACGGUACUGACGCUAAGGCGCGAAAGCGUGGGGAGCGAACAGG